rnacentral:rRNA from 1 species
AUACGUAGGGGGCGAGCGUUGUCCGGAAUGAUUGGGCGUAAAGGGCGCGUAGGCGGCCCGGUAAGUCUGGAGUGAAAGUCCUGUUUUUAAGAUGGGAAUUGCUUUGGAUACUGUCGGGCUUGAGUGCAGGAGAGGUAAGUGGAAUUCCCAGUGUAGCGGUGAAAUGCGUAGAGAUUGGGAGGAACACCAGUGGCGAAGGCGACUUACUGGACUGUAACUGACGCUGAGGCGCGAAAGUGUGGGGAGCAAACAGGAUUAGAUACCCUGGUAGUCCACACUGUAAACGAUGAAUACUAGGUGUAGGGGGUAUCAACUCCCUCUGUGCCGCAGCAAACGCAAUAAGUAUUCCGCCUGGGGAGUACGGCCGCAAGGUUGAAACUCAAAUGAAUUGACGGGG